GAGUUUGUCCCUUCCUGCCCAGGAUGUGCUGAUGACGUUUUAACCCAUCCUGGAUCUCCCGCCUUUCCCAGCAGCCCAGGAUUCC